UAUUAAUAGUUAUAUACUUUAAAAUUAAAAAAUUUGGCGGUAUUUUAGUCUAUUCAGAGGAACCUGUUUAUUAAUUGAUAUUCCACGAUUAAAUUUACUUAUUUUAAUAAUUUGUAUAUCGUUGUAGUUGAAUAUUUUAGAAGAAUUAAAAUAUUCAUAAUUUUUUAUUAAAAAAUAAAUCAAAUCAAGGUGCAGUUUAUAAAUAAGAUAAAAUGGGUUACAAAAAUAAUAAUUAUGGCUUAUUAAUUGAAAAUUAAUUUAAAAUUGGAUUUGAAUGUAAUAUAGUUAUUUUUGAUUAUAUG
rnacentral:rRNA from 1 species